UACGUAGGGGGCUAGCGUUGUCCGGAUUUAUUGGGCGUAAAGAGCGUGUAGGCGGCCGCACAGGUCCGUUGUGAAAACUGGAGGCUUAACCUUCAGACGUCGAUGGAAACCGUGCGGCUAGAGUCCGGAAGAGGCGAGUGGAAUUCCCGGUGUAGCGGUGAAAUGCGCAGAUAUCGGGAGGAACACCUAUGGCGAAGGCAGCUCGCUGGGACGUUACUGACGCUGAGACGCGAAAGCGUGGGGAGCAAACAGG
rnacentral:rRNA from 1 species